UAAUCAUUUAACAUAAACAUUUUAUAUAUAAACUUCAAUUCAUGUGCUUUAUCAGUAUCGUUUAUAGUUUUAUUUUUAAUAUUUUAGUGUUUAUUUUAUUUUUACAAAACACUGGAAGAGUAUUUCCAAAAAAAAUUUCAAAUGUUAAUACUUUCCUUGGAAUAGAACAAAAAAAAUUGUUUACCACUUCGCAAAUACUUUAAAUAUAUCUUAUCACAUAAUCUAUAUUGUCCUUUAUAUAAUAUGUCCUUAGUACUCCUCCAUUUUAAAUAUUCUUUAUUUCUUAACUUCGUUUUUUAUUUUCCUUGUUAUAACGGACUUCAAAUAAAUAGAUUUCAUACUCUUUAUUGGUACGGUGGAUCGGACGGACGAUUGAGACGACAGGCGUGAGCCUAACGCGGUUGUUUCGUCAGACGCGUAAGUACGGCAAAGUGAGAGUUGCUCGGACACCAACAGAACUACUACGGCUUCUGUGAACCUGGGAUCUUUAUUGAGAGAGAGAAUUACAAAUUACGGAAACAUUUUCUCCGUGUGAGGACAAAUACCUUAAUAUAUUGAUGUACAAAUCAAGUUCGUUAAGUAUCUUUUCCUUUCUCACUAUAUCCACAGAGUCUUUAGUCCAAUACAAUCUGGUGGUACAGUCUUUAGUCUCUAUAUGAUGAAAACAGACAUACCGGUAUGUUGGUUUCCUACUUCUUAUAUUCACUAAAUAAAAUUCACUUUAAGUUGUCUGCUGAGGUACAGGUUUCAGACGUAUUUCGUUAACGUGAGUCGUCUGCCGAAGUGAAGGUUUUAGAUUAUGGGACAAUGGCACUAACUCUCUCCCUCUUAAUAGGUUUACUAUCCGAUUACUUCGACGGUUUCUUAACCGUCGAACCGUCGUUUGCGAAUAUAUUUGUUUUUCCCCGACUGACUAAUUUUCUGAAUUCUUGGCCAAUAUCUUUCUCCUCUCCUUUCCCCUGGGGGAGAAAGAUUUUUCCCAAUUACAUCGAUGGAUUUUUCCCAGUUGCAUUCCGUAGCUUUCGUCUUUACACCACCUGCGCGUUACUCGAUCCUUUUUCCCAACAUCGUACUUUUCUUUGAUAAUUCUCAGAUUGUCUAUUUGAAUUGGGAACAGAGGUGAACGGAGGAUCUCGAUCUCGUAAAGAUGACAUUUAAACGAGCACUCAUCACUCAAAAGUGUCGUUUCUUUGAUCGAGUCGCGAUGAAGUGUAGAGUGACAUUUCACAUAGGGUCCGUAAUUCGUAACCUCGCAACGUUCCCAGCUUCGAAUAAUAGGCUUACAAUGACAGAUUUAUCUCUUCACUUCUCACGAUUCUCAUCGUUAAAUCAUUUUCAAGAUAGCUUAACAAGCCACGUUAUAACAUUCCAAACAUACAAGAUUUUGUGUAAAUCUAAAGAGAGUUUUCUAUUGCAUAUAUGUAUUUUUAUACCAAUUUUGGCAAUGAAGGUCGGUGGAGAUCUCACACUACCUUCGACUUUCUCUAAAAUUUUCACUGCUUGUUGAAAGAAAUGAAAAUUUUAUUACAUUCAAAUUAUAAAGAAAUGAUGAUAAUAUUUACCCUCCUCACCGAUUGUCUUAUACAAUAUACCGUUAAAAUCUCUCUCUCAAUAAGUGUACGCGCGGAGAUGUUUUAACUACCUAACCGCGUAAGCGAAGGUGUUUGUGUAUUGAAUAAAACUAAAUAGACGAGAUGUACAAUAAAAUAAUAUUGUUAAUUAUUACGAAGGAAAAAAAAGCAAUUGAUCAAAUAAAUGCGUAUUCGUAUUUAAGAUUGUAGAAUAACAAAUAGAAUGAUAUUGAUUAAAUAUAACAAAGGACAUUUGAUUUUCGAUACAUAUAUAUCUAUAUAUACAUAAAAUAAAAAAAGGAAAACACAGAAGGGAAAACAAUAGUAAAUUGGGAAAAAAUUUCUUUCCCCUCUCCUUUCUUUCUCUUUAUGUGUGCUGAGUUAAGAAGAGAGAAUUCAUCCUCGCCCAAAGGGAGGACGUGCUCUCCCUAAUCUCCACAAGUGGUUUGCGACGUUUCCGCUCAAGUCUAUCUCUGUCCUGUGCACUAGCGUUCUUGAGGGAAUCUCUGACUGUCUCUUGGAGGGUCCUUGGGGUUAUACUCCCUAUGCGUUCCAUUUUGUAUAUGGUUAAAUGUAUUUGGUUAAUGACUGAACAGGUGGCGGAGAAGAAGGUGGCACGGAGGCUCUGGGUUCACUAUUCUCCGACGCGCCAUUCCCCAACGCCGGCGGAAAGGAAACGUUGUCGCUGAGUUGCAUCCGUUGGGGAGACUUGGUUGCCGCGACUCCACGCCGCUACGGCGAUAGAAAGUGGCUACCGUUAAUUUACAUGUUUCCGGGCACGCAUAACCUUGCGGGAUUAAUACGGAUACUUUUUCGUUCCCGUUUGUGUCUUGGAGAAUAUCCUGGCACUACUUUAGCAAUUGUUUCAUUUAAAUAUUGAUAUAAUCUAUCAAAUUUUGUUUACAUUUUUAAUGAUGAAUUACAAAUAAUAGAUCAGUCCCAAUUAGUUAGAUUCAAUAUGCGUUUUGCUUUUUUUUCUAUUUUUUCGGGGAAAAGGAUCUCUAUGUUGCUUUUCUUUUGCACAAUGCAUGCAGACCGAAAUUUGUUCGCCUUGUGUAAUCAGAUCUCUUACCAUACCAUUUUUUAAUAGCUUGGGUAAGUUAUAUCCCAGGUGGGCAAAAUGUCGAUGCCAUUGGUCAAAAUUGGGAGUUGACGAGACAAUUUGGGCAUAAUCGUGUCAUGUUAGUACAAAUCAUUUGACUCUAGUCGUGGCGAGAAGUCGACCUAGGUUGUCAAGAAUGUAACAUCGAUUUGCCUUGAACUUUAUGGAAUCUUUUGUUGCGAGUUGUCUGACAAAUAGGUUAUUCUGCAGUUGAGGAACGUGUAGAAUGUCUUGUAUUAUACUUUCAACUUUAUUGUUAUUUAGAGAGAGCAUCACCUUUACAUUGCCUUGAUUUUUAGGCCACAAACUAGUCAAUGGUAUAGAGUCCGAUCUGAAGUCAGGUGCAAUUUCUAUAGCCAUGUGAUCAUUUCAUAAGACAUUGCUAGUUGCGACUUUGUCGAAGUUGUUAAUCGAUAUCACUCAUGACUUUGUUUUCACAGCCAAUCAACAUUUCUCGAAUAUUUACUUGGUUUACCCAUAGAGUAUUGGCGAC
rnacentral:lncRNA from 1 species